rnacentral:rRNA from 1 species
AAUUUGGGACAAUGGGGGAAACCCUGAUCCAGCCAUCCCGCGUGUAUGAUUAAGGCCUUCGGGUUNUCAAGUACUUUUGGUCGUGANAAAAUGGUAUCUCCUAAUACGAGAUACUGCUGACGGUAUCUGCAGAAUAAGCACCGGCUAACUACGUGCCAGCAGCCGCGGUAAUACGUAGGGUGCAAGCGUUAAUCGGAAUUAAUGGGCGUAAAGCGUGUGUAGGCGGUACGGAAAGAAAGAUGUGAAAUCCCAGGGCUCAACCUUGGAACUGCAUUUUUAACUGCCGAGCUAGAGUAUGUCAGAGGGGGGUAGAAUUCCACGUGUAGCAGUGAAAUGCGUAGAUAUGUGGAGGAAUACCGAUGGCGAAGGCAGCCCCCUGGGAUAAUACUGACGCUCAGACACGAAAGCGUGGGGAGCAAACAGG